AGGCAUUGUGUUCAACUUAAAAAAGGAACGCAUGAAGAAUAGCUUUGUUUGCAUUCUGGUGAGUGUUUCUCUUCCAGAUCUUUGAAUCAGCUUUCUACACGGCUUAAGUGAUGGAACAGGAAAGACUCCAAUAUGGUAACAACGUGAUUUCUAGUGUUUUGGAAAGAUUGUUUCACGUGUAAUGAAAAGCUAGUGUCCAGAUGAUCACUGCGGCCAGAUGGCAAUUUUGAUGCCCUCGUCACUAAGACUUGUCCAAGCCCUGAUGUAUGUGAAGCUCAUCAGGAGGGAAUGCUCGCAAGAAUCAGCUAACACAAUAGCAGCAAGCUUUCAGUGACAGCGUUCAGGAAGGGUGACGAUUCAGGCUGGGAGCAGGUAUGUCAUCACCUGACUUGACCACAUGUAACUUGAUGCUAGAAGUACACCACGUCCCUCCCUCCCUGCAUGGCAAGAGAUUGCUCUCUUCUCCUGCAAAGGCA